AGAGUUUGAUCAUGGCUCAGAACGAACGCUGGCGGCGUGCCUAACACAUGCAAGUCGAACGAGAAACUCCGGGCUUGCUCGGAGGAGUAAAGUGGCGCACGGGUGAGUAACGCGUGGGUAACCCACCCCUUAAUUCGGGAUAACUCCGCGAAAGCGGUGCUAAUACCGAAUAUUGUCCUGGAGAUGGUGGUUUCCGGGAUAAAAGGUGACCUCUUCAUGAAAGUUGCCGUUGAGGGACGGGCCCGCGUACCAUUAGCUUGUUGGUAGGGUAAUGGCCUACCAAGGCUGCGAUGGUUAGCUGGUCUGAGAGGAUGAUCAGCCACACUGGAACUGGAACACGGUCCAGACUCCUACGGGAGGCAGCAGUGAGGAAUUUUGCGCAAUGGGGGAAACCCUGACGCAGCAACGCCGCGUGAGUGAAGAAGGCCUUCGGGUUGUAAAGCUCUGUCAAGUGGGAAAAAAGCCUUUCGGUGAAUAGCCGGAGGGGGGGANG
rnacentral:rRNA from 1 species